UAGGGAAUCUUCCGCAAUGGACGAAAGUCUGACGGAGCAACGCCGCGUGAGUGAUGAAGGUUUUCGGAUCGUAAAGCUCUGUUGUAAGGGAAGAGCAAGUACCGUUCGAAUAGGGCGGUACCUUGACGGUACCUAACCAGAAAGCCAAGGCUAACUACGUGCCAGCAGCCGCGGUAAUACGUAGGUGGCAAGCGAUGUCCGGAAUUAUUGGGCGUAAAGGGCUCGCAGGCGGUUUCUUAAGUCUGAUGUGAAAGCCCCCGGCUCAACCGGGGAGGGUCAUUGGAAACUGGGGAACUUGAGUGGAGAAGAGGAGAGUGGAAUUCCACGUGUAGCGGUGAGAUGCGUAGAGAUGUGGAGGAACACUAGUGGCGAAGGCGACUUUCUGGUCUGUAACUGACGCUGAGGAUCGAAAGCGUGGGGAGCGAAGA
rnacentral:rRNA from 1 species